AUUGAACCUCUUUCAAGUUCAAAAACUGGGGGGAGUUUUAAGUACACUGUAUUCCCUUCUGCUGUCCUAUUGUAUUUUCCCUUUUUUCUUUUGGCCUUGCUCCAAUUAUGACCUAGUGAGAAGACCACAAGUACGUUACCCUACUGCUGCGGCUGAGAUAAAGGGAGAUGAGAGAGGUACUCACCUGGGGCACAUUUACAGGAGUAUCCAAAAAACCUCAAUCAUCAAGGACAGGACACCAUCAACACCAGCCAGAAAAAAUUGCCAUGGUUUCUUGCUGAGGAAGGCAUCAGACCUUCAAAAGUAGCUGAUUCCAGUCAGCCGCUGUCAUCACCCAAGAAGCUCUUGCGAGCUGACCUGCCAUGUAAGAAGAAUGAGCCUCUUAACGUGGCCACAGCUCAGUGAUACUGACCCACCACCCACCGUCUCUUUGCUGAACCGAGGUAAAC